rnacentral:rRNA from 1 species
ACACAUGCAAGUCGAGCGGUAAGGCCCUUCGGGGUACACGAGCGGCGAACGGGUGAGUAACACGUGAGCAACCUGCCCCUGACUCCGGGAUAAGCGGUGGAAACGCCGUCUAAUACCGGAUACGACCCGCCACCUCAUGGUGGAGGGUGGAAAGUUUUUCGGUCAGGGAUGGGCUCGCGGCCUAUCAGCUUGUUGGUGGGGUAACGGCCUACCAAGGCGAUUACGGGUAGCCGGCCUGAGAGGGCGACCGGCCACACUGGGACUGAGACACGGCCCAGACUCCUGCGGGAGGCAGCAGUGGGGAAUAUUGCGCAAUGGGCGAAAGCCUGACGCAGCGACGCCGCGUGGGGGAUGACGGCCUUCGGGUUGUAAACCUCUUUUACCACCAACGCAGGCUCCCAGUUCUCUGGGGGUUGACGGUAGGUGGGGAAUAAGGACCGGCUAACUACGUGCCAGCAGCCGCGGUAAUACGUAGGGUCCGAGCGUUGUCCGGAAUUAUUGGGCGUAAAGAGCUCGUAGGCGGCGUGUCGCGUCUGCUGUGAAAGACCGGGGCUUAACUCCGGUUCUGCAGUGGAUACGGGCAUGCUAGAGGUAGGUAGGGGAGACUGGAAUUCCUGGUGUAGCGGUGAAAUGCGCAGAUAUCAGGAGGAACACCGGUGGCGAAGGCGGGUCUCUGGGCCUUACCUGACGCUGAGGAGCGAAAGCAUGGGGAGCGAACAGGAUUAGAUACCCUGGUAGUCCAUGCCGUAAACGUUGGGCGCUAGGUGUGGGGACUUUCCACGGUUUCCGCGCCGUAGCUAACGCAUUAAGCGCCCCGCCUGGGGAGUACGGCCGCAAGGCUAAAACUCAAAGGAAUUGACGGGGGCCCGCACAAGCGGCGGAGCAUGUUGCUUAAUUCGACGCAACGCGAGGACCUUACCAAGGUUUGACAUCACCCGUGGACUCGCAGAGAUGUGGAGGUCAUUUAGUUGGCGGGUGACAGGUGGUGCAUGGCUGUCGUCAGCUCGUGUCGUGAGAUGUUGGGUUA